GCCGACCAGACCGACCUUUCAGCCAGCCCCCCUCCCCCCUACGUACCACCACCUCCUCUGUCUCUGUCAGACAUCACUGCACACGAGCCGCAGGAUAGGCUGAGCCAUUCCGAUGUCACCGAUAGCCUGACCAAUCCUGUGGAGGAUGGGGAGGGCCAGGAAGGAGGCACUGCGUUUGAGUUCGAUGAGAAGGAGGAAGAAGACAUGGACAAUAUGUCGGGAGAGACUCUGGAGCAGAAUAUAGAGGAACAGACUGGUCAAGUCCUUGAAAAUGAGGAGAGCGAAGCACACCAAGGUGGAAUGUUGAAUCCAUCCAUGGAUGUCUCACAGAUGGAUGGUGCAGGGACAGAACCAGGUCUACAUGAGCAGGAUGAAACAAUGGAGAUCUCAGAACAGCUUACUGGAGACCUUCAGGAGAGCUUUGGGCAAAAACAGGGCUUACAGGUGCACCCGUUUCUGGGAAAGCUGGAGGAAGAGAGCAGCCUCACAUGCCCUGAGCCCAUUGAAGAGCCAGGGGAGGAUGUUGACAGAUUGAUUUUGUACCAGACAGUGGAGGGGGAUACUGUGGAGAAUUGUCUUGAUGCUGAUACCUUAAUGGGACACACAACGGGGGACUUUCUAGAAGCAGAAAACUCUAGAGAAGACAGUCCAGUGCAGCACACAGAUCUUGCAGAUCAAGUGGAUGAAAAUUCAGAAGUCCAGGUGGAUCACGUAUCUCUGAUGGAUGUUCCAGUUGUGCAGCCAAGUGAUGAAAAAGGACAAAAGCUCUUGAAGCAACAAGAACCCAAUGAAAUGGGCCUGGAGGGUAUUUACUCUGAAUAUGCACAUGCCUCUUGCCAUUCUACCUCUGUUUCCUCCUCUAUAGUAGCAUCAAAGUCUGAUGAAAUGACCAGAGGUAAAGCUAGAAUGAAGACUGAAGUCUCCAUGGAUGAAGGUACAGCUGAAGACCUUGAUUUACCAAAUGGCAGAAACACAGCCCUGACUUUAUCCCUUGAUCAAGACAACAAAGAUACUAUGCUGGAUCAAAAUGAAAUGAAUAUUUCUGCAACUCUUCCUGCAAACAGCAUCAACGCAGAUGCUUCAGAUCUCAGAUGUUCUCUGUUAGUGGAUGAUGAAAGUGAGAGGAAACCGGAGCAGCUACCAAUAAAAGUUGAGGAGACAAAGAUGGAGGCUGUCGAAGAAGCGGGCUACCCUGAUAGUUCUGAAAUCAAACCCGCUAAAUUUCUUGCCUACACAGUUAAAUCAGAGGACUUGGUGACCAAAGCGGAGCAGUUUGACUACUCCAUCAAAGCAGAAACAUUAGAGACCAAACCAGAAGAUCUGAGCCUUCCUGUGAAGCAUGAGAACUUAGACAGCAAAUCUCAUGUUCUUCAAUUUGAAUCCUACUCCAACAUCAAAACCGAGGCCAAACCACUAGCUCUGGGUCUUCCUUCUUACCGAGAUGGACCCCAGCUUAAGACUGAGAUGAAACCUGAAGGCUUAAAGCUGGCAGCUUUCCCUGAUACCUCCGCAGUUAAACCUGAGGCCAAAUCAGAAGGUCUGGACUUCACCACCUACCCUGACAGCUCAGAGGUCAAACCAGAGGCCAAGCCAGAGGGACUGGAGUUUAGAGGGUUACCUGAGGUCAAAGCUGAGACCAAGCAGGAGCCCCUGGAGGCAGACAGCACUGUGUUGACCCCAAGGCUGGAGCAGACAGAUGAGCUGGUAGACACCUCCGACACCCUGGUAAAGAGUCAGGUUAAGGAGGAGAGACCCAAUACACCAGGAAGCCCACGGUUUGCAACUCCUAUCUCCAUAUGUGAGAUUCCUGACAGCCUGCAUGACGCCAGAGAGCCCACCAUCGCUCAGCUGCUGCAGGAGAAGGCACU
ensembl:lncRNA